rnacentral:lncRNA from 1 species
UUUUUUUUUUUUUGGUUUUUCGAGACAGGGUUUCUCUGUGUAGCCCUGGCUGUCCUGGAAUUCACUUUGUAGAUCAGGCUGGCCUCAAACUCAGAAAUCCGCCUGCCUCUGCCUCCUGAGUGCUGAGAUUAAAGGCAUGAUUUUUUUCCCCAUGUAGUAUUUUUAUUGAUAAUGUUUGGUGUAUAAAUUUUAUUUACAUUUUAUCACAAUGUUUAUUAAGUACCUUUCUGUUGCUUUGUAUAUUGUUAUGCCCAAGUACAACUACUACUUCAGAGCAAUAUCUUUAAAGAAAAUAUCAUAGUAUGUCAAUGCUUCAUUUAUAUAUCUGUUAUUUGAAACUUACUAAGAUUGGUUCACAUGGUUGGGCAGCAGUUUUCAGCUUGUGGGUUUCAACCCCUUUGGGGGUUGAAAGACUAUUUCACAGGGACCGCAUAUCACACACAUAUCCUGCAUAUCAGAUAUUAACAUAAUUCAUAACAGUAGCAAAAUUACAAUUAUGAAGUCACAACAAAAAUAACUUUCUGGUUGGGGGUCCCCAUAACAUGAGGAACUGUAUUAAAUGGUCUCAGCUUUAGGAAGGUUGAGAACCACUGCCCUAGGGUAAAGUAUAGGAGCUGCUGUGUCCCUCUUAACCCACUUUUUAGGUUGCAUCAGACUAAUAUUUUAAAUGAUGAGCUUAUUAGAAUAACUCCUCAAUUUAAAGAUAUCCCAAAUUGUCUCUUGACUUAACCAUAGCCUUCUUUCUCUGCAAAUCCAUAUUCUAUUGAUACCAUUGGGAACCCCAUUGUGUCUCAUCACUUUCCAGCUUUGUACCAUGAGGUAAGUGCUGUAACAGAUUAUUGGUUGUCUUUACUGGGUAUAUAGAAAAAUGCUACUUUAUCGCAGUGACCCCUGAUUCCUCCAUGUACAGUGGAAUAAUAUCUGUCCUUUAUAGGAUAGUUUAAAAGGAUUAAAAGGCAGAACUUAUUUCUUGGGAAUGGAAUGAGUGCCGUAAUAUAUUUAUAUCUGUAACUUGACAGAUGUGUCAGUUAUUGUCAUCCGAGUUUCCUGUUCUUAUUUUCACUAUUAAUUUAUCUAUCUGUCAUUUGUUGAAGAAUUAAAAUGUCUUCGAUGCCUGCAAUACAAAUGUUAUAAAAUGAAUGUUAUACUGCCUUCUCUCUGGGUUCACAGACUAGGAUGAAUGAUAAAGUCAUGUAAAUAAAUACAUAUUUUAAAAUAAUUAAAUAAAAUUCCUCUUCUCUUAACCCUUUUUACUUGUGUGACUCUUUCCUGGUUUUGACCCCGAGUAGCCCUGUUUCCAGUAGAGUGUUGUGAUUGUGUACAUUGUUCGUGUGUGAGUGUGUGUGUGUGUAUUAUAUAUGUUUUUGUAUAUUAGGUUUUCUAACUAGUGGACUGUGAACAGCACUGCUGUUACGGACAGUUUUGAACGGAAGGAGCAGAGAAUCAGUAUUUCAGGUGUUGUUGUUGGCAAGGACUCUGUAUACCUACUGAAGCCAAGCUACAACAGGAGCAGAAAACAGCCAUAGCUAUAUUAUACAAAAAUGAGUGUGGGUCUCUUCUAAUUCAGCUGUAUUUAUGGAACAGGCAUCAGGCCAGGUUUGACACCCAAGCCUUAGUUUGUUGACUCUUUGAAUGCUACAAACUCUGUUCUUGGCUAGGACAAUAUUAUUAAUAAAUAAGUUAUUUAUUGUUAUAAAUAAAUAAGUGCUUUUUCUGCCUUGGGUGUUGUUCCAAACUUCACACAUAGCUGCUUAUUUGGUUCUCAAGCCAUCUGAGUUAGAUAUCAUUGCCACCAUUUUUAAAAUAAGGUAACUAGUAUGCCCAAGACCAUAGAGCUGUUUAGUGAUAGACUUUGAGUACAGAUGAUGCUGGAACCUGGCCUUUUUGUUAAUACCAGUUCUAAUAUGUUGCAUCCCAGGAAUGUAAUGAUUCAGUCUUAGGAGACAUAGUCAAUUAAUUUACUAUACAAUUAUUUACAAUUAUACUGAUCUCUUUGGUGCUAAAAAUGUUACUGUGCUGAAUUCCAGGUAUAUAAUGAUUUACUUCUAGGAAAUAUUAAUAUAAUUUGCCAUAUUUAUGGAUUUUAGGGACAAUCAUAAUUAUCUCUUUAGUGCUAAAAUUUGUUUUCUUAAAUUCAGUUACCAGUCCUAAUAACUCACCAUCAACAAGAAAUAACCUUAUAAAAUUAUUCUAGCAGGAACUUAUAUUGAAUGCCAUAGUGAAAUACUAGAAGUACUUUUAUUAAAAGAUAGGAACAUUAUUAACAUUGGUCCAAAACUCUUACCUGAUUAUUAAGAAACAAGAAAAAUAACUUGUAAUAGGAGAGUAGUACGUUAUUAUUUAUAACUGAAAUGAUUGCAAACUUAGGAAAUACAAAAUAGGGCUGAGGGAUGAUUUAGCUUUAGAACACUUAACUAUAUAGCUGAUGUUAUGUGCUCUGUUCCCGGUAGCCCCGUCACCAUCACCACCACCCUGACCACAGCAACGACAAAACGGAAUUAGAAGAGAAGUGGUAAGACUAGACAUCCUUUUCUUAAACAUAGUGGCAAAGUAUCUAGUUUCCUCAUCUCUCUCUCUCUCCCUUUCCCCUCACUCUCUCUCCCUCUCCCUCUUUCCUCUCCCCCCCCUCUCUCUGUCUCUCACACACACACACACACACACACACACACACACACACACACACACACACACACACAGAGAGACACACAGAUACACAUGAUAGUAAACUGAAAAUUACUUAAAGGGUUUCAGUAAAUAUCUGGCUAUGAGGUUAAUUUACUAAAGUUUUUCUGUACCAUCAGUGACUGACUUUUGAAGUAGUUAAGAAAAAGAGCAAUUGUAAGUUAUAAAAUACUUUAAAAUUGUAAAAUGUGUAAUAACUAAAUGAAGAAAAUAUGAUUAAUGGAGAAAAUUUUCUGAAAUUAGUAACUCACUAAUUACUACAAAGUGGCAGUUCUUAACCAUAUUAGUUUAUAAAAAUCAUUAUUUUAAUUAGAAAUUUAAUGCCAUUUUAAAAUGACACUUGCAAAAUUGAAGGUUGAAGAUGGAGGAAGCUAUAGAGGCACAUAGCCAAAUACAAGGGGGGCUUACUUAUCAAAGGUAAAAAUAAAAUCUUUGUGAAGCUUUAUAUUUUUAAGAUUUAUUUGUUUUUAUGUGUAUGAGUGUUUUGACUGCAUGUGUGUAUGUGCACCAGAUGUGUUCAGUGUCUGCAGAGUCUUUAAGAAGGCAAGAGAUCCCUGGGAACUGGAGUUAUGGUCAGUUAUAAGCUGCCAUAUGGGUGUUAGGGCUUGAACCGAAAUUUUCUUCAAAAGCAGUGAGUAAUCGCAACCACUGAGCAACUCUUCAGCCCCUAAAAGUCUAACUUUGAAGCAUUAAGAAUCUGGGGUAGAGAUAAGCAUAAUUAUCAAAGGGACAGAAUAAAAUUCAAGAGAAAGAAAAUAUAGGGAACUAUUGAGUAAUGGAAAACUUAGCUUUUAAUAGUGUAGGGAAGUCUUCCAUACAGUUGGGUACUCUUAAGUUUCAAAUGAACUUAAAUAUCC